GGUCUCAUCGUCUAGCCUGGUCUAGGACACAUGGUUCUCAUCCAUGUAACAUGGGUUCAAAUCCCAUUGAGACCA
rnacentral:tRNA from 1 species